GAUAAGAAAUAAUCCACCGCCUGCAUUUCAGUUCCCCGGGUUCAGUUCCAGCGGCAGCCAGCUGGCUGCAAAAAUUGCUUUGCUAUUCGAGAUAGCCAGCAGAGGGAAUCGGAACUUUGCUUGCAGCAGGGGUUGAAGCAGCCUUUUUUUUUUUUUUUUUUUUUUUUUUUCUUGGAGGAAAUACUGCAGCCUUCUGGACUGCGUACGCUGCUCCCUGGAGAGGCUCUCUCGGUUCCACCCACCGGCUGGAAGGAGGGGAAGUGAAUGAAAGGACAGGACAAGCCCCGAACACCAUGUCACUCUGGGAGGGAGACAGCAGCAACUAAGCUGUGCGAGGUUUUUUUUUUUUUUUUUUCCUUUUUCUUUUUCCCUUUCUUUUUCUUUCUUUUUUUUUUCUUUUUUCUGUUUCUUCUUUCUUUCUCUUUCUCUUUCUUUCUUUUUUUUUUCUUUUUCUUUAAGGUGGGGAAAGAGACAAACAGGAGACAGGAAGCUGAUCUGCAAGGAUUCGGAGUUGUGCUAAAAGGACUUUGAUUUUUUUUUUCUCUCUCUCUCUUUACAAACGCUGGCAAUUGACAUCACUACAGACAGCCUGGUAGAGAACAAACUGCCUCAUCCCAAGUGGACCCUGGCAGCUGGGGGAAGGAAGGCAAGAUCUGGGGAGGCUGUGUCUGUUGGUCUUUUUUCCUACCGAUACCCCUCCUUUUUUUUUUUUUUUUUUUUUUGGUGUGUUUCUUUUUUAAAUUCUUGCUGUGUUGGAACUAGCGAGUGGUGGAAGACGAGGGAUUUCUGAAGCCUCAUCAGUCAUCGAGACUGUCAGGAAUAGUGGUUUAAGAGGAAGCUCGGCCUGGGGCACUAUACCCUGUCAUCCAGUUCCCUGCCUCGGAGAUAAAGAUUCCAGCUACAUGGGCAAACGCCUGGAUCAGCCACAAAUGUACCCCCAGUACACUUACUACUAUCCUCACUAUCUCCAAACCAAGAUGAGGAAACUGAGGCACAGAGGAGUGAAGUAAAUCGCCCAGGUCACACACAUUAGUAAGUAAGCAAUGGAGCUGAGAUUAAGUCAGGCCAUUGGGACUCCAAAUCCCAUCGUCUCCACCGUGUGAUGCCAGGCAGUGAACUGCUUCUCACUGGUAUGCAAUAAAUACAGAAAUUGAGAACAAGUCGGUCGUGUCAGCGGUCAUGUCUCAUUGAACAAAGUACAGACCCGUCUGAGUGUUGUGAAAGUGGGGUGGAAUUGCAUGCGAUACGAGCCGUGUAUGAGCCGUGAACUGUAGGACCACACACCAACCCAUGAUGGAUUGGGAGGGAGAUGGUCCUUCACCUCAGAUAGUGCCAAAAGCACAGCCCUGAACCAUAUGCUGUGCUUCCAGAGAUGACACAAGGUAGUAAAUCUCCUCUCCCUUGUCUCUUGAUAUUCCACAUGAUACAUCAUAUGCGCAAAGUGUCAUUUGUCAUUUGCCUUGUGUCUUACCUCUUGGGACUGUGAAGGAAGUAAGUGUGAGAGAAAGGUCCAUAAGGGGAAGAGGUCAUUUGACCUCCUGCUCUCUGCUAACACUGCCAAGUAGCCCUUUGGGUUCCAUAGUAUGACGGUCACUUUCCUGCUGCCAUCUUGCGACCCCUCUAGACAUUGUGAGUCUAUGGGAGAAGCAAGGUUGGAUAAGUGUAAAUACCUACCGACUUCAUGUCUGGUCAAGUGGGCUAGAAGACUUGAACAUGGUGUCAGUUGGACCAUUGGUAUGCACUGCCUUUCUCUCUCUACGAAGACAGUAACUGAGUCUUCUAGCCACAACCUACCAGUGUGGAGAAAUGGGAUUGAUAAUGAGGUUUGAAUGGAUUCUCAUAAUGUCACCUCCAUGGGGUAGGGGACAGGGAGAUGUGUUAUUUUGAAAAAAGUAUGAAAGGAACUGAAGUAAUGUUUUUGUUCUUUUUUUUUUAAUUUUAUGUAGCAAAUCAGUGCCAGCAGCACCUUGUCCAGAAAUCUUUAUCUUUUAAUCCAAUAUAACCCUUAAA